UAGGGGAGGUUCAGAGACCUAUGAGACGUCGAUGUGAUCAGUUCAAGAAUUGAAAAGGUGUGGUGACUACGAGGAAAUUCAACGGUGUUCUGACAGAAUGGACCAAAAAUUAGGACUCACCUUUGGGUGUUUUAUCUUAGAAAUUGUAUCUUUAAAGCUUCCGUACUGUGUAAAUGGUUACGUCACUCUCACGUGACGGCCAGCAUGCCCUCCUUCGGGACGGGGUGUGUCAAGUUGGUAUCAGAGCCUAAGUUUCAAUCUUGGACAUCUUAAGAAGUUCUAGUGAAUUCUGUCAGAACUACACCGUCUCGUAGCAAACCACGUAGUUAGAGGAACUUAGUCUCCCUGAUUUAGCUGUUAGGGGAAACUAUUAUUUUGGUGAUUCAGUAUAUUAUCAAAAAUGGACAUUUUAAGAUGGGUUAUGAGUUGAAUUUGAAUCACCUUAUGAAAUGAUGAACCUGAGGGAGCAAAGUGAUGGAGUAACCAAUUGGAAAAGAUGUUUUAGAUUAUGCAAGUCAAAGGAAUCUUCCUUUUGACAGAAGGGUUGAGACGACUACCUGGUUUGAGUUAGGAACUUGUAUCCUGGUGGAAACAGGAGUAUAAUUCGUUGUCACCAAAGGAAACAGCCGAUUGAGAAUUGUUUAAGGACUUGUUUAAAGAAAAGAAUUAUUUCCUUUGGCAUCUUAUGAUGGUAGAAAGCAAGAGUUUGCAAAUGUGAGACAAGGAAAGCUGACGAUCAAUGAGUAUUAUAGAAAGUUCUCAGACUUGCCUCGUCCCAUUCAAAUAUUGCUGCUAUUUUGAUUGAAGUGUUAUAUUGUUUUAAGCUGGGUGGCAUAAGGCAGUGGUAUUUUGGGUGACCACUAUCCAUUGUAAUCCUUAUCAGGAGUAUACAAGAUGUUGUUGAGCCUUAAGGACUCUGAGAUUAUGUUCAGCGAAAGUAAAGAAGAAUGAUAAAAGAAUGGGAAUCAAAAGAGGACGAUAAAGUUAAUGAUUCGUCAUAUCAAGAAUAUAGAAAGAUUCGGAACUUCAAAAGAAGUGAAGCUAAUUCUAGUUCUUUUGGCAAAGGUUUUAAUGCCAUUGGCCAGAGGCGAAGUGAUAGAUGUAUUGGUAAUCCCAGAUCUCAGAGACAAGGUGAUUUUGGUAAAGAAAAUGUACCUUUGGGCUGUAGGUACAAUAAUGGACACCUUUAAGAAUGUAGGCAAGAAAGCAUUGGACGCUUUACAAGUGGAUAGAUGGGACAUAGAACUGCAAAUUAUGUCCAAAACCAACAGAAGCCCUAGCAGUUUUCUUUGCCACAACUGGCGCCGAUCCAGCAAGUUCCUGGAUCUAUUAAUUAUGGUCAGUUAGGCCGUGGUGUACAUGAAAGAAGUAUUUACACUAAUAGAGGUUGUGGGAGACAACAACAAGUCCAGGGAUGUGUUAACCACACAUCACUGCAGGAUACUCAGAAUUAUUUGGAUUUGAUUAGGGGUACGAUAAUUAUUCUUAAUGACUUAGCUAGAGUCUAUUGGGUAAUAAUGUAGAAAUUUUACGUUAUUAUUGUUAUUGCCUAGAAAGUAGUAUUUAAACACGGUUGAGACGUGUGUAUGUAUUUCCCAAUGAGUGGCCAAAUAGUAAUAUUACACCCUCGAGAGUUGUUGCUUACUUAUCGAGACAACAAUGAUUUAUCAGUAUUGCGGGCUGCAGACCGUAAUAUUAAUAACUUAUUCGUGGAUUCGUUAAGCAAGUAAACCGGUAGGUUAUCCUAUGUUAGUAUCGUACUUAUUCAGAGUGCUCAGUAUUAGUAAAGUAUGUAUUGUUGCCAGCUAUUUUUGUUUCAUUAGAUUGUGGAUUUCGAUGUUAUUCUAGAGCAUAUUAUGUUAUAUACAUGAUAUGAUGAGUUGAUUAUAAGCUAUAUAUGCAGCCGAGGGCUGAGUUGAUUAGAAUGAAAGAGUAUGAGCUAUGUUUAUAGCCGAAUGUUGAAUAGAUUAUAUGUCAUUUUCCAUCGGUCUGGAUGACUAGAGAUUACUUUUGUAAGUAUGCAAAGUGAAGUGAGGCAGACCGUUAAUUAUGCUGUGAGAGCAAAGAGAUUAUUAUCAAAAGGCUGCCAAGGAUAUUUAUAUCAUGUGGUGCUAAGUGAUGUCACUUCUAGUAGCGUGGAAGAAGUGGGAGUAGUCAAACAUUUACCUGACGUUUUCCCUGAGAAUUUACCUGGAUGGCUGCCAGUUAAAGAUGUAGAGUUCACUAUGGAUUUGCCUCCAGGUACAAACCAUAUAUUAUAGAAUGUUGCCUUUUGAACUAAGAGAAUUGGAAAUUGGUUGAUAAAGGUUUUUAUUCAACCUAGUACAUUACGUUGGGGGAACCCCAGUUUAUUGGUGAGAAAGAAAAUGGACGUUAAGGCUGUGCUUUGAUUAUAAGCAGUUGAAUCGAGUAACAAUUGAAAACCGUUAUUCGUAACCUCACAUUGAUGGUUGUUCGAUCAGCUUCUAGGUGGUUGUAUAUUUUCUAAGUUUGAUUUGAGGUCUGGAUAUUAUUAGUUGAAGAUUAUCGGUGAGGAUGCCCUUAUGAUAACUUUCAGGACUUGUUAAGGUCAUUUCAAGUUUUGGUGAUGCCAUUCGGAGUGACGAAUGCAUCUACUACUUUAUGAAUUUGAUGAAUGAAGUAUUCCAAUGAUAUCUAAAUCGAUUUGUUGUUGUUGCUAUUGAAAAGAUUGAUAAGACUAGAGCAAAGUAUGCUAAACAUCUUAAAUUGGUAUUGCAAAGAUCGAGGGAACGUCGAUUGUAUGCUAAGUUUAGCAAAUGCUAAAGUUAAAUGAAUCAAGUAGCAUUUUUGAGAUAUGUUAUAUCUGCUUCAGGUAUUCAAAUGAAUUCUUAAAAGGUAGCAGAAAUUGAGAAUUUAGAACAAUCACGAAUCGUGAUUGGGAUUCGGAGUUAUCCUAGCUUAAUAAGCUAUCAUGGACGGUUCGUGAAAGAUUUUUCAGUCAUUGCCUUGCCAUUGUCGAGAAAAGAGGUUAAGUUUUGAGUGGGAUGAUAAUUAUGAGUAAAGGUUUCAACAGUUGAAGUAUUCCUCACUCAUGCACGUAUUUUAGUAUUCACAGAGAAUAGUGGUAAUCAUAAAUUUUUAGUGAUGUUUCUUGAAUGGUAUGGGAUGCAUGUUGAUGCAAAUGUUAGGGUGAUUACAUACGUUUCACGACAAAAGGAACCUCAUGAAAUGAAUUACCCUACUAGUGAUUUGGAAGUCAUGAUUACCAUUCUUGCUGUGAAGUUAUGAAGACAUUAUAUGUGGUAAAAAUGCAAGAUUUUUACGAAUCCAAAAAGUCUCCAAUAUCCAUUACUUGGAAGGAUUUUGAUAUAAGGCAGCGAAGGUGGAUUGAAUUGUUUAAUGAACAUGAUUGUACGACCAGGGUGAUCGUAAAAUUGUUCUAGCUGAUGCACUUGGUGAAAA